AAUUUAUUUUAAAAUUAGAGAUGGGGGCUCACUAUAUUGCCAAGGAUUGGUCUCAGAUUCCUAGGCUCAAGUGAUCCUCCUGCCUUGGCUUCCUAAAGUGCUUGUAUUAUAGGUGUG